rnacentral:rRNA from 1 species
GAUGAACGCUGGCGGCGUGCCUAAUACAUGCAAGUCGAGCGAAUGGAUUAAGAGCUUGCUCUUAUGAAGUUAGCGGCGGACGGGUGAGUAACACGUGGGUAACCUGCCCAUAAGACUGGGAUAACUCCGGGAAACCGGGGCUAAUACCGGAUAACAUUUUGAACCGCAUGGUUCGAAAUUGAAGGGCGGCUUCGGCUGUCACUUAUGGAUGGACCCGCGUCGCAUUAGCUAGUUGGUGAGGUAACGGCUCACCAAGGCAACGAUGCGUAGCCGACCGGAGAGGGUGAUCGGCCACACUGGGACUGAGACACGGCCCAGACUCCGACGGGAGGCAGCAGUAGGGAAUCUUCCGCAAUGGACGAAAGUCUGACGGAGCAACGCCGCGUGAGUGAUGAAGGCUUUCGGGUCGUAAAACUCUGUUGUUAGGGAAGAACAAGUGCUAGUUGAAUAAGCUGGCACCUUGACGGUACCUAACCAGAAAGCCACGGCUAACUACGUGCCAGCCGCCGCCGUAA